CCCCCUGCUGGCCCCAGGUGCUCUGACGAGGUUGCACUACUGUGCUCUGAGAAGCAGUGCAAUGAUAUUGUCAAAGCAUCUGGGACCAGCCUUGGG
rnacentral:pre_miRNA from 14 species